rnacentral:misc_RNA from 1 species
AAUGCAAAUUGCACUUCUUGGUAUUCCAAUAAGUACAUAUACUUGAGGGUCAGUUAAAAAAAAUAUCAUAUAUCUUUGAUGUUGUAGAUCUGGUAUUCCGAUCUUAUCGGUUACCUAAAAUUAAGAUGAAUAUAUAAUGUUAAGCAUACUAAUUAUUAGUUGCUAAUCAUUUAUUAUACUUAUUACAUUACGUUUAAGUAUUUAGUUGGUGGUGUAUAAAUUAUUCAAAUCAUGUGAGAGUACCCACCAAACUUAA